rnacentral:lncRNA from 1 species
UCGGCUCAGUGAAGGAAAGGAUUGAAGCCAAUGGUCUGCGUUCGCGAAAAAAAAAAGAGGACAAGAAUCGCAGACCAUAAAGUGCAAUCGUGUGCCCUUAGUUGGGUCCGCAUGCACUAUGUCCAGGCCAGAUCCGCAAUUACAAUCAACGCCCAUUUUUGGCCAUUUCUGUAAUAUGCUUAGUGGCUAUAAAUAACCUAGUUCAAAGUUAUU